AGAGUUUGAUCCUGGCUCAGGACGAACGCUGGCGGCGUGCCUAAUACAUGCAAGUCGAACGCACUCUCGUUUAGAUUGAAGGAGCUUGCUCCUGAUUGAUAAACAUUUGAGUGAGUGGCGGACGGGUGAGUAACACGUGGGUAACCUGCCCUAAAGUGGGGGAUAACAUUUGGAAACAGAUGCUAAUACCGCAUAAAACCUAACACCGCAUGGUGUAGGGUUGAAAGAUGGUUUCGGCUAUCACUUUAGGAUGGACCCGCGGUGCAUUAGUUAGUUGGUGAGGUAAAGGCUCACCAAGACCGUGAUGCAUAGCCGACCUGAGAGGGUAAUCGGCCACACUGGGACUGAGACACGGCCCAGACUCCUACGGGAGGCAGCAGUAGGGAAUCUUCCACAAUGGACGAAAGUCUGAUGGAGCAACGCCGCGUGAGUGAAGAAGGUUUUCGGAUCGUAAAACUCUGUUGUUGGAGAAGAAUUUAUCUGAUAGUAACUGAUCAGGUAGUGACGGUAUCCAACCAGAAAGCCACGGCUAACUACGUGCCAGCAGCCGCGGUAAUACGUAGGUGGCAAGCGUUGUCCGGAUUUAUUGGGCGUAAAGCGAGCGCAGGCGGUUUCUUAAGUCUGAUGUGGAGCCUUCGGCUCAACCGAAGAAGUGCAUCGGAAACUGGGAAACUUGAGGCAGAAGAGGACAGUGGAACUCCAUGUGUAGCGGUG
rnacentral:rRNA from 2 species